GCAAGCAGAUGUGUUGUGUGCAGAUUGUUGGCAACAAACAAGUUUUAUUUUAGUUAGACUUGUUUCUUGGUGUAAACGAGGGAUUCGUUUUGGCUGCGUUCAGGAACGCCGAGUUUUGUGGUUUUGGGGACCAACAGAGACAAUUCAACCUAAAUACCACGUGCUACUGGGGAUAUGAUUUGAUCAUGAAUAACAGCCGGCAACAAAAUAUAACAACAUUAUAAAUGGCGGUCAUAGAGGAGUGAGGUCAAGGCAGAAAGGGAUUUGUCGACAAAAUAGUAAAUACCUGCCCGGAGAUAUUGUACCUUCUUUACUAUUAAAAAUGCGCCAUCUGUGGACUUAAUUAUAUAAUAUCAGGCCUAUCUCGCUCCCAGUGUAGGUGUCGAAAACGUCAGGUUGUACUUGCGGCUGACACGCCAGCUAUCUACUAUCUAGUAAUUAUAUGCCCAAGGCAGUCUCGUAAAUAAAGCUCGUAAAAAAAAGCUCCAAGCGGGAAGGGUUACAGAAAAAUCAAGAUGACAUUUUCAUAUUACUACACUAGAUGGCGGUUUAACAAAAAAAAGAUCAAACAUCAAAAAUAUGAUUUUAUGACUAAUAAAUAAUAAUUAAGUUUAUGUAGUAUGCACCACAUUUUGUUUUGAUUUCACCUAUUUGGGCUAUUUGUCUGUUGUUAACAAAACGAUUUUGGUUUUAAUUUAUUUGAUGAUCGUAUAGAAGAGGCGUAGAAGCAGAAUUUAAAGUGUUACUUUGGAUGUGUUUUUGAUGGUUCUUCCAAUAACCGACUGUGGUGACACUGACUGUGCCUCCUCAUCGCCCUUGCUGAACUACGGAAGCGAAGAAGAAGAGGACGAUGAAGAAGUUGAGGCUCAGCUUGUGGUCCCCAGAAGUCUUCGCCUGUUUUUCAGUCAGGCCGUCGAAGAUACCCCGGAGGAAGCCGUAUGCUCUAGUGUGGUUACGAUGGCUGUGAAACUGAGCAUGGGCAACAUCCAUGGGCCAACCACACUCUUCCAAUUUGACUGGCACGUUUUUUCAGCUGUCCCUAUUUCCCCACAAUUAAGGAGAGAGCAGUUUAUUGGUGCAAGUGGCCCCAUGAUUGGUGCUACCGCAUCACCUAUGCUGCAUUUCAAGCGAUAUGGGAUAGGCCAAUCAUGGAGCACAUUGCAAAUGCAACCAAUAGAUAUGCAAAAGAAUAUGCCACCUAUCUCUUUAAUCGAGGGGAAAUGGGGCCAGCUAGUCGGAUAAUGCAGUGACGCGGACGAAUUAUACAUUUAUUUUGCUCCUGUUAUCGCAAUGGGUAUUGUAGUAAAAUCACGUUUAGAGGACUGUUGGACGACAGACAAGACAAUCUUCUCGACGCCAGGCUUUUCUAUUUCUAUGCCCUUCGAACGCUUCCAACUACGAUCUCGGUGUCUCCAUUUUAAUAAUAAUUCCCAAUUUUCGUCCAAAAUUUUUAAAAUACAGCCCAUUGUCCAACAUUUACAUUUAAAGUUUCCAGCUUAUACAGUUCAAGCCAAAAUAUCGAUACACUGGUUGAAUACUUGACCCAGUGGAAGGGGUGGCUGGACAUCAAGCAAUUCAUUCUCAAUAAAGCCUCAGCAGUAGGAUAAAGAGGUCUACGAGGCCUGUGAUUUCCUAUCCUCCUCCCUCCGUACCAACCGUCAAUUUGUACCAGAUCAAGUUACAAACUUGAAAAAGUCUGAAAUGAGGAAGGGUCAAGUGUGCGGAUGCACUUCGGGAGAUGUUGACUAGAUGUUAUGGCGGGAUAAAAACCGUGUGGCGAUGAUCUCGACGUACUAUGGGGUCGCCGAUUCCGACAACAAACCCGUCCUCAUCAAGGACUACAAUUUUUGAAAUGGGGGGGGGGGGUAGACAAGAAAGACAGAAAGACCAGAUGCUAUCCAUGUACCCAAUGGAGCGUACGCGAUCAAAGAUCUGGUACAAAAAAGGCGCCUUGUAAAUGUUAGCAUUUUGAAUGCUUACAUGAUUCAUCAACACUUCGCACCCAUAACAGACCACCAGGGGUUCCGUCAAGGAAUUGGUCACUCAACUCCUGCAACUCUAACAGCGGAGAUCAGUGCUCCCUAUUGUCACCUUACGUGGGGUGUUGAAAUUUUCGGCUGAGGUUCUUUCGCACUUCCCCACAGCAGUCCCGACACUUCCAAUCGGCAUGAAGGCAGGCAGACAAAGACGCAUAUGGUGCAUAUGCAAAAAGAGGACCCAUUUUGUGUGCCGUGCAUGCAACGUUGCUCUUUGUUUUAAUACGCCGUCUUCUUGCUUCAUAUUACACCACCCUUAAACACAACAGAUGAACACCAUGCAAGAACAUUAUACAGAUAUUUUAUUGAUUACAGGGAUUUAUAGAUAUAUUUUGUGAACAAUUAUUGUAUUACAACAUGCUUUUUGAGAAUUGUAUGUCUUAAGUGAUAUAUUCAGCUAUAAAUAAAAACAUAAUUUUCUGA